GACUAUGGUUAGUGCCAAUG
rnacentral:misc_RNA from 1 species